CAAGAAGGGAAAUAUCCCUUAUAAACUGAGAUUUCUUUCAAAUGUAUAAAAAAAAUUCAGAAAUGAAAUUUAACUAUAUCACGGAUUUUCUUAGUUUUAGACAGUUCUAAAAAGUAAAGGAUUUUUUUUUAACUGCAGUUGUCACCUUGAAAAAUUCCUUCCUGUCAAGUUAGAUCUGAAGUAAAUGCACAUUGCGCAUUAAAUGUCGUCUGCCAUCUUCUAAAUAGACUUAUAGAGAAAGGAAAUAAACGUGAGUGAGAUUUCUUGUCGAUCGCUUUUCUUUUAUUCUUGUGGCAUCAGUAAUAAUCGUUGUCGUUUAUGACAUGGAUUGGAAGGUAUUUGACUUGGAGUAACUUUCUUAGAUAAAUGGAAGGAGAGAAAGAGAAAAUGCAUAGUUAAUGCACAUGUCCAGCCAAAAGGAACUAAGACAAAGGGAAAUUUUAGUACUCGGAGAGGGAUACAAUUUUUUUCAGAGUCUACUACAAGGAAAAAUUCCCUCAAAUAAUGCGUCCUAGUGUGUAUGAUACUUAAUACUGAAAUCUAAGGACGCAAGCAAGCAUCUUCCUGUUGGCGACGAAGUUUGUCUGUGGAGUACUCGCGAUCUGAUCAGGAUUGAAAAUUACAAGGGACAGAUAAGCUACACGUGUCAUCUUCCCACGUGAUCCUGACUGUCUACUGAUUCUGCGCCAAAUUGUGAGCUUCUUGUAGAGCAUCAGCAGCAAUCGUCGAUAGGUCAAUCACCCUAUACUUAGUUAUUUCCUGAUGGCACAACAACAUUUCAUUGGAUUCGAAUCGCUCCAGUGUUUGAGAUUUGGACAUCGUAAAUGGUGCAUAUCUUAAUAUUUCUUGAAUUCAGACUCCAUGGUUUGUUCUAAUUAACCCCUUUCUAAAUCCUGCAAGUUCUGCAUUUGAAACCUAUUCGAACAACCGACUGUUCCUUUGCCUUGGAAAUCAAAUCAUGGAGGGGUAUGCAUAUGUGCAAAUAUACUGAGUAUUUUUAUAUUAUAUUGUUUUUUUUAAUUACUAAACGAACAAAGAGUAUUUGCAUGUAAAUUUUAAUUUCAAAACAAUGAUACUUUUUAAUAAUGCAGAAUU